rnacentral:misc_RNA from 1 species
CUCGUGCCGUCCACCGAACGGUCGGCAGGCGAUCCGCGUCGGUCGCGCUGGGUGGUAUGGUUCCCCAGAGGCCGGUUCUUGUGCUGCCUACCCCUUCAGGGGAAGAGUUCCAAACUCGAUGUAAGCCUCCAUCCGGCGCCCUCCAAAGGGCGCGGGAGGACAACGGAGCACCCCCCGCGUUCCACCGAGCCUCCUCGGUCGCGUGGCCCGCGGGGACGUGCGAUGCUCUCGGACCCAGCGAACGCCGUGGGCGAGGACUCACGUCCCGGUCCCAAGUGAAGCAACGGUAUAACGCCGACGGCCGCUCCCGCCCCCCGACCGCCCCGGCGGCGCGGGGCGAAGGCGCGGCGUCGCUGAGGAAUGCUACCU